rnacentral:rRNA from 1 species
GAAUCUUGGACAAUGGGGGCAACCCUGAUCCAGCGACGCCGCGUGGGUGAUGAAGGCCUUCGGGUUGUAAAGCCCUUUCGACGGGGACGAUGAUGACGGUACCCGGCGAAGAAGCACCGGCUAACCCCGUGCCAGCCGCCGCGGUAAUACGGAGGGUGCAAGCGUUGUCCGGAUUCAUUGGGUUUAAAGGGUGCGUAGGCGGAUUGCUAAGUCAGUGGUGAAAGGCAGCGGCUCAACCGUUGAGUUGCCAUUGAUACUGUCAGUCUUGAGUGCACUAGAGGUAAGUGGAAUUUAUGGUGUAGCGGUGAAAUGCAUAGAUACCAUAAAGAACACCAAUAGCGAAGGCAACUUACUAGAGUGUAACUGACGCUGAGGCACGAAAGCGUGGGGAGCGAACAGG